rnacentral:rRNA from 1 species
UACAGAGGUCUCAAGCGUUGUUCGGAUUCAUUGGGCGUAAAGGGUGCGUAGGCGGCGCGGUAAGUCGGGUGUGAAAUCUCGGAGCUUAACUCCGAAACUGCAUUCGAUACUGCCGUGCUUGAGGACUGGAGAGGAGACUGGAAUUUACGGUGUAGCGGUGAAAUGCGUAGAUAUCGGGAGGAACACCAGUAGCGAAGGCGGCCUUCUGGACUGACACUGACGCUGAGGCGCGAAAGCGUGGGGAGCGAACAGG